AGCCACACUGGAACUGAGACACGGUCCAGACUCCUACGGGAGGCAGCAGUGGGGAAUUUUGGACAAUGGGCGCAAGCCUGAUGCAGCCAUGCCGCGUGUAGUGAGAAGGCCUUCGGGUUGUAAAGCUCUUUUGUCGGGGAAGAAAGGGUGGUGGUUAAUACCUUUGCUCAUUGACGUUACCCGCAGAAUAAGCACCGGCUAACUACGUGCCAGCACCGCGGUAAUACAUAGGGUGCAAGCGUUAAUCGGAAUUACUGGGCGUAAAGCGUGCGCAGGCGGUUGUGCAAGACA
rnacentral:rRNA from 1 species